rnacentral:rRNA from 1 species
UACAGGGGGUGCAAACGUUGCUCGGAAUUAUUGGGCGUAAAGCGCGCGUAGGCGGCUACUUAAGUCGGAUGUGAAAGCCCCUGGCUCAACUGGGGAAGUGCACCCGAAACUGAGUGGCUUGAGUGCGAAAGAGGGUCGCGGAAUUCCCGGUGUAGAGGUGAAAUUCGUAGAUAUCGGGAGGAACACCGGUGGCGAAGGCGGCGACCUGGGUCGACACUGACGCUGAGGCGCGAAAGCGUGGGGAGCGAACAGG